AUGCGUGCGGCAUGGAAUCCAGCAAAUGAAGUAAUUUGGAGGAGGAUAAAUCCUAACCUCUACUCUAUCCAAUUCAACUGCUUGGGUGAUUGGAACAAGGCCAUGCAUCAGGGCCCCUGGGAUUUCAAAGGUCAUGCUUUAAUUCUUGCUGAGUAUGAUGGUUUCUCCAAGCCAGAAAAGGUAAAACUUGAUCGGUUGGAAACCUGGGCACAAAUUCACAAACUGCCAGAUGGAGUUCUGAAAAACAAAAGCUUUCUGGAAAACCUAGCGAGUCGCAUUGGCGAAGUACAAGAGGUCCAGGUUACGCUCCCUAAUGGUUUUGUUGGCGAGUUUAUAAGAGUCAGAGUAAGGCUGGAUGUAAGCAAAAAAUUAACAAGAGUAGUCAGAUUUGCCAAGGCGGGUGUAACUGAACCUUAUAGUGUGAAGUUUGAGAAACUACCAACCUUUUGUUAUGAGUGCGGUAUGAUGGGACUCUGGUAUGAAGAGUGUGGAUCAGGAGAGCAUGAUACCACAAAAUUUGAGUGGGGUCCGUUCAUUCUUGCUUCUAGAAGAGGGGCUAGAGGAGGUAGACCUGGUGCUGCUAAUCGUGGUGAGGUGCCUGAAAUGUCAGGUGGUCGAGGCCGAGGCCGUGGGAGGAGGGAAAAUAAUUUCGGUGGUCGUGGACAAAAGCCAAGGGACACAGAACAUGAGAACGUGGUGAAUCAACCUGAGGCCCCUGUUUUGGGCGAAGGUAUACUGUCAAAUUAUGAUCACAAUAGAAGCUGGAGGUUUAAUGCCCAAAUGGACCAAGCAGCCAUUAUAGGGACGUCAUCGUUGAUGACUGACCAACAGCAUGAAGACUCCCUUGGGUUGAGGAAGAGGGCUGCUCAUGACUCGACAUCGAGGGGCCUGACGAAUGAUCCUCUGGAUCAGAGUACGGAGCUAAUUCCGAUGGGUAAUACAGUUGUGAUUGCUCAGCAUUUUGAGGGAAGAGAAGAAGAGGCCUUGGUUGACGGGGGCACGCCGCAAAAAAGCCUGAACAGGAAGAAGCUAAAAGGAACAGAUGGAGAGGCAGUUACAAAAAAAUCUGAUAUUACAUCGGCGACCUCCGAACAGGGGGAUCGCCGGAAGCAAUGA
rnacentral:rRNA from 1 species